AACAGUAAGAGAUUAUGUGCUG
rnacentral:miRNA from 2 species